rnacentral:misc_RNA from 1 species
UCGUAACAAAAUGUGCUAGGCAUAUGCUUCCGGCUGUCGCCGACUCGAAAGGGUCGUGCACGCGGGAGCGUGUCCUCUCACAUAACACAAUCCAUCUCACCCUUUGUGCACCACCGCGUGGGCCCCCUUUGGGGGGCUCGCGUUUUCACACAAAAACCCCCUUUUAAAAGUGUAGAAUGACCUCUUUUUAUAAAAUCAAUA